UGAGUACGAGCUGCUACGGCAGCGAAGUGGGUGACGUCAAGCUUCCAAGAAAAGCCCUAUACCCGUUAAGGCAUGAUGGCCUGUACCCGAAACCGACACAGGUGGGGUGGUAGAGAAUACCGUGGGGCGCGAGAUAACUCUCUCUAAGGAACUCGGCAAAAUGGCCCCGUAACUUCGGGAGAAGGGGUGCCACCGCAAGGUGGUCGCAGUGAAGAGGCCCAGGCGACUGUUUACCAAAAACACAGGUCUCCGCUAAGUCGCAAGACGAUGUAUGGGGGCUGACGCCUGCCCAGUGCCGGAAGGUUAAGGAAGCUGGUCAGCGUAAGCGAAGCUAGCGACUGAAGCCCCGGUGAACGGCGGCCGUAACUAUAACGGUCCUAAGGUAGCGAAAUUCCUUGUCGGGUAAGUUCCGACCCGCACGAAAGGCGUAACGAUCUGGGCGCUGUCUCGGAGAGAGGCUCGGCGAAAUAGAAUUGUCUGUGAAGAUGCGGACUACGUGCACCCGGACAGAAAGACCCUAUGAAGCUUUACUGUAGCUUGGUAUUGUGCUCGGGCUCGGAAUGCGCAGGAUAGGUGGGAGGCUAUGAACCAUUGCUUGUGGGUGAUGGUGAGCCACUGGUGAGAUACCACUCUUUCCGAGCUAGAGUUCUAACAGCCACCCGUUAUCCGGGGGCUGGACAGUAUCAGGUGGGCAGUUUGACUGGGGCGGUCGCCUCCUAAAAGGUAACGGAGGCGCGCAAAGGUUUGCUCAGGCUGGUUGGAAAUCAGCCGACGAGUGUAAAAGCAGAAGCAAGCUUGACUGUGAGACAUACAAGUCGAACAGGGAGGAAACUCGGCUUUAGUGAUCCGACGGUUCUGCGUGGAAGGGCCGUCGCUCAACGGAUAAAAGUUACUCUAGGAUAACAGGCUGAUCUCCCCCAAGAGUUCACAUCGACGGGGAGGUUUGGCACCUCGAUGUCGGCUCAUCGCAACCUGGGGCUGAAGUCGGUCCCAAGGGUUGGGCUGUUCGCCCAUUAAAGCGGUACGCGAGCUGGGUUCAGAACGUCGUGAGACAGUUCGGUCCAUAUCCGGUGCAUGCGCAGGAAUAUUGAGAGGAUUUCUCCCUAGUACGAGAGGACCGGGAGGAACGCACCUCUGGUGUACCAGUUAUCGUGCCAACGGUAAACGCUGGGUAGCCAUGUGCGGAGAGGAUAACCGCUGAAAGCAUCUAAGUGGGAAGCCCACCUCAAGAUGAGUAUUCCCAUGGGUUAACCCAGUAAGGUCACGGGAAGAACACCCGUUGAUAGGCUCUACGUGGAAGCGCAGUAAUGUGUGAAGCGGAGGAGUACUAAUAGACCGAGGGCUUG
rnacentral:rRNA from 1 species